rnacentral:rRNA from 1 species
AAUCUUGCACAAUGGGCGAAAGCCUGAUGCAGCGACGCCGCGUGGGGGAUGAAGCUUCUCGGAGUGUAAACCCCUUUCGAUCCGGACGAAUGCCCGCAAGGGAUUGACGGUACGGAUAUAAGAAGCCCCGGCUAACUACGUGCCAGCAGCCGCGGUAAUACGUAGGCAGCAAGCGUUGUUCGGAGUUACUGGGCGUAAAGGGUGUGUAGGCGGUUGGAUAAGUGUGGUGUGAAAUCUCCCGGCUCAACUGGGAGGGUGCGCUACAAACUGUCUGACUCGAGUGUGGGAUGGGUAAGUGGAAUUCCUGGUGUAGCGGUGAAAUGCGUAGAUAUCAGGAGGAACACCGGUGGUGUAGACGGCUUACUGGACCAUAACUGACGCUGAGACACGAAAGCGUGGGUAGCAAAC